rnacentral:pre_miRNA from 1 species
AUAUGCAUUCGUCUUUAACCGGAGCUGUGUCUUCACAAAUGUUAUAAAUCGAUGUCUGUGCAUAGAUUUCAUUUCCGCUUUUUGCAACUAUUUGUGAAGACACAGCUCCGGUUAAAGACGAAUGCAU